UAUGAUCAUCAGAAAACAGUG
rnacentral:miRNA from 1 species